rnacentral:rRNA from 1 species
AGCGCAGGCGGUUUCUUAAGUCUGAUGUGAAAGCCUUCGGCUCAACCGAAGAAGUGCAUCGGAAACUGGGAAACUUGAGUGCAGAAGAGGACAGUGGAACUCCAUGUGUAGCAGUGAAAUGCGUAGAUAUAUGGAAGAACACCAGUGGCGAGGGCGGCUGUCUGAUCUGUAACUGACGCUGAGGCUCGAAAGCAUGGGUAGCAAACA